rnacentral:rRNA from 1 species
AAUGAAUUGACGGGGGCCCGCACAAGCGGUGGAGCAUGUGGUUUAAUUCGAUGCAACGCGAAGAACCUUACCUGGUCUUGACAUCCACAGAACUUAGCAGAGAUGCUUUGGUGCCUUCGGGAACUGUGAGACAGGUGCUGCAUGGCUGUCGUCAGCUCGUGUUGUGAAAUGUUGGGUUAAGUCCCGCAACGAGCGCAACCCU